GAGAAACCCUGUCUCAAAAAAAAAACAACAAAAAAAGUCUUACUUUUAUGUAUAUUGGUGGAUUGCCUACAUGAAUAUCUGUGUAAGACCUGCAUGCCUGGUACCCUUGGAAGCCAGAAGGGGGUUGUUGGAGUCCCUGGAACUGGAGUCACAAUGACUGAAGGUCAUCUCUAGCCCCAUCUGUUUUUGUUUUGGUUCUGCUGUGUUAAGUUGUAAAGUAGGAGGAGGUGCUGGGAAGGUGUCUGAGUGGUUGGAACAUGGGUUGCUCUUUUUUUUGUUUUGUUUUGUUUUUCAAGACAGGGUUUCUCUGUGUAGUCCUGGCUGUCCUGGAACUCACUCUGUAGACCAGGCUGGCCUCGAACUCAGAAAUUCGCCUGCCUUUGCCUCCCAAGUGCUGGGAUUAAAGGCAUGCGCCACCACGCCCUGCACAUGGGCUGCUCUUGCAGAGAACUCACAUUCCUCUUCCAGGGCCCAAAAGGAAGGAAGCUUACAAACACCUGAAAGUUAAUUUAGAAACCUGAUGCUCUCUUCUUGCUCCAUGGACACCAGGAACUUAUAUGGGUACACCUAUAUACAUGCAACACUCAUAUUAUACGUAUUAUAUAUACACAUAUUGUAUAUAUGCAUAUAUAUACACACACAUAUAUAUGUGUGUAUAUGUAUGCAUAUAUAUAUAUAUAUAUAUAUAUACAUUGACAUAUGAUUAAAAGAGUCAGUAAUGAAGAAGGAACUAUAGAGGCAGAUCACUUUUUUUGGGUUUUUUUGUUUUUUGUUUUUUGGUUUUUUGGUUUUUUUGAGACAGGGUUUCUCUGUGUAGCUCUGGGUGUCCUGGAACUCACUUUGUAGACCAGGCUGGCCUCGAACUCAGAAAUCCACCUGCCUCUGCCUCCCAAGUGCUGGGAUUAAAGGCUUGCACCACCACACCCGGCUUGUCGGAUCACCUUUAAUAAUAAAUCUUUAACAUUAAAAAAAAAAAACAACCUAAAAAUUCCACUUUUAAAUCUUUAUUCCUUUCUUUUUUUUUCUUUGUUGUAAUCUAAUUCCUUUUUUUAUUAUUAUUAUUUUGGUUUUGGGCGAACAACAACAACAACAACAAAACAAAAACAAACAAACAAAAAAAAAACAAAAUCUAGACACCCAGUUAAAUUUAGAGAGCCAGGCUUGGCAUGUAGGAAUUGGCUGGCCAACCAAACUAGACUGUUAAACAGUUUGUCUUUUACUGAGAUAUAUUUACACCGGAAAAUCUCAAUUCAUCUCAAAUUUGAAUUUGACUAGGUGUCUGGUUUUUGGUUUUUUUGUUUUGUUUUGUCUUGUUUUGGUUUUGUUUCUUGGUUGUUGUUUUUUCUCUCUCUCUUUUUCUAGAGAAUUUCAACAAUAAAAAACUCAUAGUAGUCUGGAGGUGUUAUUUUGGCUUUGUUGGUGGUGGUUUUUUUUAAGGUUUUAUUUUCCCCCAACUCCUAAGGAUUAAGGAUUAAGAAUUAAGAAUAUUAAGAAUUCUAUGACCUGCUGCAAUCUUGGAGUAGGACAAUACCUUCAUGGCUCAAAUAUGUCAAACAGCAGACGAUACCUAUUUGUCAACGUAUAUGGCCAAAACAAGGUAUGUGGCAUGAUGAUAGAGCCAGAAACCCGUCCCCAGAUAAGGAAACAGAGACCCUGGCACACUGAGCUGAACAGCAGUGAGGGCAAGCAGAACUGGAAGCCAGCUGCCACCCGUGCUAGAGGAACAGGUUGGAAAAACGAAAGUUCACCAAAAUCACAAAUGUCUGAGGCUUGACAUAUGGCUCGGUUGAUAGGGUUCUUGCCUAAAAUUCUCAAGGCCCAUGUUGGAUCCCAAAUGCUACUCCGAACCAGGCCAAAGUAGGUUGUGGUAAACACCUGCAGUCCCAGCAUUUGGGAGGUAGAGGCAAAAGGAUCGAUGACUUCAGCCCCAGAGAGAGCAGAAGGCCAAUAACGCCACUUUAACAAACAAAGAAAGAGUUAGAAAUAUUAAAAUAGCAUCACAUUAAGAUAAUCAGGAGUUUGCCUUUUGAUUGGGUCAUGUGGUUUUACUUAAAAGUUAAAGCAUACAGGUACACACUGGAUGGUGUUCGCCUGUCUUCGGGCUGACUUGAACCGUAAAACUUUCAGAAACCCAGAACAUCAGUAGAACUUUCCUGGUCAAAAUGCUCAGAGGAGCCCACCAUGGCCUCAAUGGGCCGGGCGGUCCUUCCUUGCUUUGGAUAAGGCUUUCGAGAUAGGGUCGAAUUCGGUCCUGCUCUUCCCCCUAACACAUCCGCCCUUGCUUUCUUUGACCUGCAGAGCCCUGUGGGACAUAAACGCUAUUAUAUAACGGCCCCUCCCAUCGUGCUUUCACUGGCCUUUGAUAGGACUUAAAAGGUGAUUACAUAGCUUCAUUUAUUUCUUUGAAUACUCAAGUUUCAUGGUCAUUAAAGUAAUCACAGACUCAUCUCGGUCCCCAUGUGAGGGCAAUGCGGCAGUCUCUUCUUUAACCAGGAUAUCUCUCUCUCUCUCUCUCUCUCUCUCUCUCUCUCUCUCUCUCUCCACCCCCCUUUGGUCAUCACCUCUCCCCUGCUCGAUAGUCCCCUUCCCCCUUCAAACCUACCAUAAAAGACUACAAUAAUUUAAAUUUUGUCAACGAAUCAUGACAUUUAUUCAACUGGUCUCCAAACCACGAGAAGCUGGGUCUUGCACUGUUGAGAGCAAGCAAUAGCAAAGAGCAGCUCAGCAAGGAAAGGGUUAAUCGGCCAUGGUCACUUGUACCACGAGGCCACAUAGAGAAGUCCGUCGUCCUUACCGCCCCCCCCCCUCCCCAUCUUCCUCAAGGAAGAGGAAAGAUCCUGCCUGGGCAGGAGGCCACGGGAGGAUGCGAUCGAUGAGUGCCCGCGUUUUGCUUUUUCUUCCAGGGAGACAAGAUUGGAGAGCUGUGUGUUCCAAAUAACAACUAUCAGUCUCGUCUGGUCUACGUUGUUCUGGCUUUAUUUGAUUACUUUUGUUAGAGAUGAUGCCCAUACUUUUCCUUGGGAACUUAUUUACUGGGAUGAGAAAAGGGAAAAAAAGGUCACAUAAACUUCAUCUGAAUCAAUUUUGCAUCUGUAAAUCCCAGUGAUUUUUUUUUCCCAAUUCUAAAAUCGAUAUAAAUGUCAUAUCAUGAUGGCUAGA